rnacentral:lncRNA from 13 species
AUGAUGGCAUUGAUUAAUGAUGUUACCAGGUGUCUGAUGCCAGGAUUUUGUUCAGUUUCAAACCUCUGGCCAACUCUCAGACUCAACAGUUUGAAAGCUUCCAGAAAGCUGACUGAAAAGAUCUUAGGUGAGCCUCUCAGAGCAAAUGACCAUGGCAUUAAGUGCAUGAUCCAGCUCCCACUGAAGGCAAUGAAAGUCCUAUCAUGGACAACAAACGAGGCCAGAUCAGGCUACUGUAAUAGGUUUACUUCCACUUCUUAGCUGUAACAAACAUACAGAGAUCUCUAAAACCAAAAUCUUAACAGCAAGAAAAAUUCACCUAUUCCAAAUUAUAACUAGAAUAUAAAUGUAAAACAAUUUCUUCAGUGUAAUAGUGUUGGUCUUAUUAAACUAAAGGCCAUUAUUUACCUUAGAAAUGUGCUGCCGAAUUUUGCUUUCUUUGCUCAAGAUGCCAUUAUUCUAAAAAAUAAAGAGGGGGGGUAGGCCUGUGGGGGUGGAUAUAUCCUCUGCACACCACACUGUGUAUCUAACCAACCCACUCUGAGAGAGUCCUAUGACCUCAACUGCACCAAGGAUAUGCAGGAAAUACAUUUCUUGCUCACACAGGUCUAUAUUUUAAGUACUGCUACACUGUAAUUGAAGUGCUUGUUUUUUAUGCUCUGGUGGUUACCAGCUGCAGAAUGGAAAUAAGUCAGGCACUUCAAGGGGGUGAAAUUAUUUACUCAGCAUCUUCUAACUUAUUGAUAUAGCUCAAAAGAUAAGUGAUGAUAAUAAGCAAAGAUAUUGCAUAAACAGCUUUAAAGCAUUUCUUCUGAAUGCACUGUGUGGUUAGACUAGAUAACGUAUCUAGUUGCAGGCAGCUAUGUACUCCAAGAAAUUUUAAUAGGUCAAAAAUUAAAGGGCAAAAAUAGAAAGCUAUAAAAUUAAGCCUAAGCAAGAACACUUCCUAUUUGAAUAGACACUUCAUCAAAAAUCUAUAAGAUUCAGAUCAACUGAACAAGCAGAAAAGCAGGGAGCUAUGUCUGGAGAAAGGAGAAACUGUCUUAAAAAAUCAGAAAAAAUAUCACCCCCUACCUUCACCUCUGAAAAAGAUCUCAGAUGGAAAACUGGUUCCUUAUGUCUCACAUGAUUCAAAAAUAUUCUCUUGAUGUCAUCCAUAGGCACAAAAGUUAACAGAGUGUAAAUCUGUUGCACACAACUGAUUUGUCUCUCAUAACAGAGAGGAAAAGCCCUAAAACAUGCAACUAUUGGGUGUUAAAUUCUUUCUUGUCACAUGUGACUUUCAGAUUUGUCUAGUUUCUCGUUUUAUUCACUGUUGCAAAGUAAAGAGCUAACUGAGGGAGCGGGUGGUAUCAUCCAGCAGCAUUACUACGGAGACAAGUAAAAAGAAACCCAUCAAAUGAAAUUUCUAUUUAGUCUUCUCUGCUCUUGGUAGUAGGAUGUAGGAUUUGUAAUUAGCACUCCCAUGUGAAGGGUUGGCUUUUCUUCUUCCAUGCUGGGGGAUACAGGAAAGGUGCAUCUCUCCAGAGAGAGCUGCAUCAGUG